CUAGCCGUAAACGAUGGAUACUAGGUGUUAGAGGUAUCGACCCCUCUAGUGCCGCAGCUAACGCAUUAAGUAUCCCGCCUGGGGAGUACGACCGCAAGGUUGAAACUCAAAGGAAUUGACGGGGGCCCGCACAAGCGGUGGAGCAUGUGGUUUAAUACGUCACUAACCGUAGAACCUUACCCAGGCUUGACAUCUGUGGAAUCCCUAUGAAAGUGGGGAGUGCCUCGUAAGAGGAGCCGCAAGACAGGUGU
rnacentral:rRNA from 1 species